rnacentral:ribozyme from 12 species
AUACGAAAAAAUGGCAUCAUUGGAUGAUUUCUUGUUCUUCUUCUUCAUCAUCUUUUUCCAAUUCUUUUUCUCCUUUAGUUGCUUUUUUCUCAGUUGCUCUCUUUCAUAAGAUGAUGAUGAUGAUGACGACGAAGCAGUAGAAGA